AAUUUUCCACAAUGGGGGCAACCCUGAUGGAGCAACGCCGCGUGCAGGAUGAAGGCUCUAGGGUCGUAAACUGCUUUUAUAUGUGAAGAUUAUGACGGUAGCAUAUGAAUAAGGAUCGGCUAACUCCGUGCCAGCAGCCGCGGUCAUACGGGGGAUCCAAGCGUUAUCCGGAAUUACUGGGCGUAAAGAGUUGCGUAGGCGGCUAAGUAAGUUAGUAGUGAAAGCGUGGGGCUCAACCUCAUACACAUUACUAAAACUACUUUGGCUAGAACAUGAGAGAGGUGGCUGGAAUUCCCUGUGUAGGAGUGAAAUCCGUAGAUAUAGGGAGGAACACCGAUGGCGUAGGCAGGCCACUGGCUCAUUGUUGACGCUCAGGCACGAAAGCGUGGGGAGCGACC
rnacentral:rRNA from 1 species